rnacentral:lncRNA from 1 species
UAGCACCUUGAGCUCAUUUUUAUUUAAAAAUAACUAUAAUAAUGAAAAAGAAUUCGGGGCGUUACAUCAAAGACAUACAAUCACUGGCAUAAUUACUUUUACCAGUCAUUGAACAUCCACUUAUUCCACUCAAAUUUCUUAUUUAUGUCCUUCAUGAUGGCGAAUAUGUCCUGAUAACACUUCUAUGCAAGAAGUGUGGAUGCGAAAAAUACAAAGGUGUACGUCGCUCAAGUUGUCAUGUCGCCAACAACUCUUCAACACAGGUAGCGCCUGCGCUUUCGUUUGAAGCCAUCAUCGUAUUAAUCUUCGCUGCCACUUCCUCUUGACACUGAUGACAGUCAACUGAGAAAGAUAGUUCACGAGUAGAGAUCUAUUUCUUCCUGCCCCGUCGCUUCUCGUCAGAAGAUUUCCUUUUACUGCUGCUUGUGGUGGUGGAAACGUUCACGCCAACCCUAACAUGUUUGUUUGCUUGGCCUCGUCGCUCGAACCACUACUCUCUCCAUUGACCGAGAUCGCAUCCCUGUUGUCUUCGAGUGCACUAUCCUCGAAUAGGCUGAAUCCUGUUCUGUACAACUUCGUUGGAGUGACAGCAUACUUGUUUUCGUCGUAGCUGUCAUUGAAUAGCUGAUGAUAGUGAAUGUAGAUCUCGUCGAUGUCAUUGUUCUUGAAGUCUUUGUUCACUUGCAUAGCAUGGGUUGAACAAUGAUAGUAUCUAUGAAAUGAAAUUUGAAAUGUAUCAAUAAAGAUAAAACGCAAGAAAUG